rnacentral:rRNA from 1 species
UACGGGGGGGGCAAGCGUUGUUCGGAAUUACUGGGCGUAAAGGGCGCGUAGGCGGUCUGUUAAGUCGGAUGUGAAAACUCUGGGCUCAACCCAGAGCCUGCAUCCGAAACUGGCAGGCUAGAGUUCUGGAGGGGGUAGCGGAAUUCCUGGUGUAGCGGUGAAAUGCGUAGAUAUCAGGAGGAACACCGGUGGCGAAGGCGGCUACCUGGACAGAGUCUGACGCUGAGGCACGAAAGCUAGGGGAGCAAACAGG